UGGGGAAUUUUGGACAAUGGGCGAAAGCCUGAUCCAGCAAUGCCGCGUGAGUGAAGAAGGCCUUCGGGUUGUAAAGCUCUUUUGUCAGGGAAGAAACGGUGAGGGCUAAUAUCUCUUGCUAAUGACGGUACCUGAAGAAUAAGCACCGGCUAACUACGUGCCAGCAGCCGCGGUAAUACGUAGGGUGCAAGCGUUAAUCGGAAUUACUGGGCGUAAAGCGUGCGCAGGCGGUUUUGUAAGUCUGAUGUGAAAUCCCCGGGCUCAACCUGGGAAUUGCAUUGGAGACUGCAAGGCUAGAAUCUGGCAGAGGGGGGUAGAAUUCCACGUGUAGCAGUGAAAUGCGUAGAUAUGUGGAGGAACACCGAUGGCGAAGGCAGCCCCCUGGGUCAAGAUUGACGCUCAUGCACGAAAGCGUGGGGAGCAAACAGG
rnacentral:rRNA from 1 species